UGUGUUUCGAAUGAUGGUGUCGGUCGUGCUAUGCUGUGCCGCUGCGGUGAUAGACGGACUGUGUUGUCUCCAGAACCGAACAAUGUCUGUGAGGGUGGAGCGUGACGUUGCUACUCGUUGCCGGUCGUUAGCAGACAAAAAAUUGCACAAAUGCUCGAGACAUGCAUGACGGCCAGAAUAUUGUGUUUUUCCGACGAUGAGUUUGAAGAAAAUGAACAGACAAAUAAAGGAUAUGGAGACCUUACAGUUGAUGAUUUUAAUUCAACCAGAAAAUCCUAAGAAACUUAAUAAUGCCUAAUUCACAUACACUUAUUUCAUUCAGUGGAUUAUACUUAUAUUUUCAAAACUAAAAUAUACGAUGUACCAUAUACAAGCAACUAGGAAGUCGAUCAAAUAUCCUGACAAUUUUUCAGACGUUGACUUUCAUGAAGAUAAUUCUACCGACAAAAUAAAUUAGUUUACACACAUAUUUUGCAUGUGUCUUGUUCUAAUCAACUGUAUCAAAAGCCACAUUCAGCUGUUAUCACACCUAUCAUUUGUGAUAUUUUAACUAUUGUACAAGAUUUUUUGACAAAACUGGCUUCACCUGUCAGAAUGGUUGGCAUGAGCAUAUAAUGAUAUAUUAUAAAGAAGAUGUUGCUGAUAGGCUGUUUUUAAAAAAUCGGGGUGUCCUACAUACAUACAU